GCAUAUUUUUAUGAAAUUAGCAUUCGUGUUUCCUUUCUUUUCACCAUAUUCCAGUCAGCUUCCUGUCCUUAAGAUGUUCGAAUCACAUAUAAAGAGUACAUAUUAAAAGUUUUGCCCACAUGUGACAUUGUCAAGUGUUCAUCCUCUUGCAAGAAAUCCCUGCUGCUUUGUUCAAUUCGGAAUGUCUUCUCUACAUCUUCCCUCCUCUGUAAAACAGGUGCGAACUAUGGAAGCUAUUGGGACUCCUUGCGUGUGCACAAGAUGCUCUCUUCAUGAAGCAAAAUAGCUCCCUGUCAGUCUCGGGGUUUCUCCUGUAACUUGGUUUCUCUACAUCUCUGCACCACACCUACUAGUCACACCUUCUAACUGACUGGCCUUCUUGCAUAUGCCAACCGCAAUUGCCAAAAAUCUUACAUUGAUGGUGUUCUUACACAUGGGAUCGUCAGCAAAAAGCCCAGUCUUACAGAUCUUCUGUUGUCUGCUUUAAGAAAAUGAAGCUGUUUAAAGUUCACAUGUUCCCAUCUGCUACAUUCUACCAAUCAUUGUUGUUCAGAGAAACCAAAGAAAACAGGAAAUCUUCUUCCAGAAAAUUCUGAUCGAAAUGACUACAAUUCUAACACGUUAUGAUUGUCAUGAU